UACGAAGGGGCUAGGCGUUGCUCGGAAUCACUGGGCGUAAAGCGCACGUAGGCGGGUCGUUAAGUCGGGGUGAAAUCCUGGAGGCUCAACUCCAGAACUGCCUUCGAUACUGGCGACCUUGAGUCCGGGAGAGGUGAGUGGAACUCCGAGUGUAGAGGUGAAAUUCGUAGAUAUUCGGAAGAACACCAGUGGCGAAGGCGGGGUC
rnacentral:rRNA from 1 species